UACGUAGGGUGCGAGCGUUGUCCGGAAUUAUUGGGCGUAAAGGGCUCGUAGGCGGUCUGUCACGUCGGGAGUGAAAAACUCAGGGCUUAACCCUGAGCCUGCUUCCGAUACGGGCAGACUAGAGGUAUGCAGGGGAGAACGGAAUUCCUGGUGUAGCGGUGAAAUGCGCAGAUAUCAGGAGGAACACCGAUGGCGAAGGCAGGUCUCUGGGCCACUACUGACGCUGAGAAGCGAAAGCAUGGGGGAGCGAACAGG
rnacentral:rRNA from 1 species